rnacentral:rRNA from 1 species
AACGAACGCUGGCGGCAGGCUUAACACAUGCAAGUCGAACGCUCUCUUCGGAGAGAGUGGCAGACGGGUGAGUAACACGUGGGAACCAACCCUUCGGUACGGAAUAGCCCCGGGAAACUGGGAGUAAUACCGUAUACGCCCUUAGGGGAAAGAUUUAUCGCCGAAGGACGGGCCCGCGUCUGAUUAGCUUGUUGGUGAGGUAAUGGCUCACCAAGGCGACGAUCAGUAGCUGGUCUGAGAGGAUGAUCAGCCACACUGGGACUGAGACACGGCCCAGACUCCUACGGGAGGCAGCAGUGGGGAAUAUUGGACAAUGGGGCAACCCUGAUCCAGCCAUGCCGCGUGAGUGACGAAGGCCUUAGGGUUGUAAAGCUCUUUGGCGGGGACGAUAAUGACGGUACCCGCAGAAUAAGCUCCGGCUAACUUUCGUGCCAGCCGCCGCGGUAAU